rnacentral:miRNA from 1 species
UCACACACAACCACAGGAAGU